rnacentral:misc_RNA from 1 species
GCACUUUUGAUGAUUAGAGUCUUGGUGAUGCGCUAUGCGGCGUCGUUUGGGUAUCUGCGGACAGUAAUGCGCGGUGGUUCGUGUUCGAAACAAACGUGCCGUGGAGAAUUGUGGAAAAAGAAAACAAAACAAUCAGACACGAUUUCCAACGACGGUGCGUUUGCUCCGAGAUAUGCGAUUUUUUUUUUCCGGAAAAAUUGCACUGUAGCCUUUUUAAG